CGAAAGCUUCGUCUGUACCCAAUAAGGUAGACUGAACGAUGUCGCAUCGUAGCAAAACAUCUCGAUACAUAAGCAUUUCUAGCGUACGUGCUUGGCAAAUCAAGUGUGUUGAAGAGCGGAUGGGAAGGUCUAUGAAAAAUCGAGACGAGGGCGACACAAUAAGCGAGGAAGGAGAGGGUUUCGUAAGGUGCUUUAAUCGGAAAUGCGGGGUGUCCUUCACACUGGGGUAAAAUUACCAGGCGCCCAUAAAACGUAAAGCAACCAACGAAUACCAAGGAGCUUAGCCCACACUGCGUGACUUCGCACACAUUCAUCGUAACAAAGCGACGAGGAUGAAACAGACAUUACUGACAGAAAGCGGAUGUUGCAAGCACAAUGGACGACAACAAAACAUAAAUAUUGGCCUAUUAGUCGGAACUGCGAUAUCGAUACCCCGAUGAAAUUUGUCAGAGCUUUUGUGCACAGUUCCGGCGGUAAUCGCUUUACAAAUGAUGUAUAGAAAAAAACUGUAACCGUGUAUUGUUUGGUUGAAUCUGUUAGAGGAAUGCUAUAGUCCCAGGUAUACAUGGGGGUGUAUCGAUCACACAAUGUGUGAAGCGAUGAUAAUAAGUUUUGAAAUAAAUCAAUAGCGACACUAUAUUAGAUUAAUAGUGACAAAAUUAAUACAAAUGGACCCAUUAAUGGCGGUAGUGUUACCAUUAUUGGAAUAGACGGUCUUGUCAAUGAAUUUUCUAUAUGUUGCUUAAUGGGUUUUCCAAUAGUACUUGCUCCUAAAUUUGUAUUGAAUAAACUUAUUAUGUAAAUAUAAAUACAAAUUUAACAUAGCAGAAA